CCUACGGGAGGCAGCAGUCGAGAAUCAUUCACAAUGGGGGAAACCCUGAUGGUGCGACGCCGCGUGGGGGAAUGAAGGUCUUCGGAUUGUAAACCCCUGUCAUGCGGGAGCAAAUUAAAAAGAUAGUACCACAAGAGGAAGAGCCGGCUAACUCUGUGCCAGCAGUGGCGGUAAUACAGAGGUCUCAAGCGUUGUUCGGAACCACUGGGCGUAAAGCGUGCGUAGGCUGUUUCGUAAGUCGUGUGUGAAAGGCGCGGGCUCAACCCGCGGACGGCAGAGGAUACUGCGGGACUAGAGUAAUGGGGGGGGAGCCGGAAUUCUCGGUGUAGCAGUGAAAUGCGUAGAUAUCGAGAGGAACAC
rnacentral:rRNA from 1 species